rnacentral:rRNA from 1 species
UACGUAGGGGGCAAGCGUUGUCCGGAUUUAUUGGGCGUAAAGAGCGUGUAGGCGGCUAGGUAGGUCCGUUGUGAAAACUCGAGGCUCAACCUCGAGACGUCGAUGGAAACCAUCUAGCUAGAGUCCGGAAGAGGAGAGUGGAAUUCCUGGUGUAGCGGUGAAAUGCGCAGAUAUCAGGAAGAACACCCGUGGCGAAGGCGGCUCUCUGGGACGUGACUGACGCUGAGACGCGAAAGCGUGGGGAGCGAACAGG